rnacentral:rRNA from 1 species
UACACUCCUGCGGGAGGCAGCAGUGGGGAAUUUUGGACAAUGGGCGAAAGCCUGAUCCAGCAAUGCCGCGUGCAGGAUGAAGGCCUUCGGGUUGUAAACUGCUUUUGUACGGAACGAAAAAGCUCCUUCUAAUACAGGGGGCCCAUGACGGUACCGUAAGAAUAAGCACCGGCUAACUACGUGCCAGCAGCCGCGGUAAUACGUAGGGUGCGAGCGUUAAUCGGAAUUACUGGGCGUAAAGCGUGCGCAGGCGGUUAUGUAAGACAGAUGUGAAAUCCCCGGGCUCAACCUGGGAACUGCAUUGGUGACUGCAUGGCUAGAGUACGGUAGAGGGGGAUGUAAUUCCGCGUGUAGCAGUGAAAUGCGUAGAUAUGCGGAGGAACACCGAUGGCGAAGGCAAUCCCCUGGACCUGUACUGACGCUCAUGCACGAAAGCGUGGGGAGCAAACAGGAUUAGAAACCCUAGUAGUCCCAUGAU